CAGACAGGUGCACACUGUGGUAUAUUGUGUCAGAUCUCCGCCAAAAUAAGAUGAAUUUUACGGACAAAAGUGUGUUUUCUUAGCGGUACAUGUCGAGAUAAGUUCCCGACGACAACAACUAGUGUUUGUGGUGACGUCAGAUGGUUGAAAUGUAUGAAGAGCAAGUUGCUAACUCUGUUAGCUUGAUGUUAUCGAUAACUUUGUUAGCUUAAUGUCGCCGUGGCUAAGCUAAUCCUUGUGAUGUAACUGUUUGAGCAGCAAAAUGAAUUUAUUUCAUGUCGUUUUAUGUCAGUGUUGCUCUAUUGAACUAUGCUGAGAGCUGAGCUGGCUGUGGAAAACGUUAUGUGUCCGUGUUUCUCAUCAGUGGCUGCGUGCGCACCAUUAUUUCAGUACUAACCCCCUGAAAAGGCAAGGUGAUGUUUGUCAGAGGGAAAGGGAAAAUGCAGCAUGAGCUCCAGAAGUUCCCGGGGAGUUGUUGUGAUGUACUCUGGGGUUGAUAGUUUCAACAACGUCACUGCAGAUCAAGCAUUGGAACAAGGUUUAUGGCUUAAACAGGCACCCAACGAGAGACAAGUCCACCAUUAAUGCACCAAAGAUCCAGCUGAUUACUGGCAAUUUGCAGGAGGAUUCUUCUUUAUCUGCUACGUUGCAUUGUCACUUCUGGUACAGAUUCAUUGGCCUUUUGUGGUUUUUUUUCACAGUGCAUCCAUCGAUCUAUCUAUCUAUCUAUCUCUCUAUAGUGGAUUAGGACACCAUAUUCCUCUGUGGUUCAUAUGUACAGAAGCCGAUCCUGCACGGUGUUUCCAAGGCUCAAUCAGCUGGCUUCCUCCGUGAGUCCGUGAGAUCAGGGGACCACACCCACAACCGCAGUCAAGCUUCAUCUGUGAACACUUUGGAGUUAUACUUUACUGACCCUCACUGAGUCAGGACAGUGAAAUGUUUCCCCCAUGUAGAGUCAGUCUUUAUAACUCGACAACAACUUCAAACCAUCCCAGAAUCACCAAAGAAACCAAACCUAGCCCCCUGGCAACCCCACAGGAACAUCCAUCCACUGUUUAAACAAACACCCUGGAAACUAACACAGAAACACCAAAGCAAUUUCCCUUUGAGAAAUGUUUUACCAAGCGCUCAGAUUAUAUUAUCAGUGACACGCUGCCAAACACCUUUCAUAGACAGGAUUAGGAUUUUGACUCACGUUCAUAUUUGCCAUGAAAGUGAUUCAGCUGAGGAAUUGUGAUUCAUUUCUCUUCCAACCCACAGUGAGAAGUGAGAGACUGUUUUUCCCCCUUUAACCUUCCCUUAGCCUGUGGAAACAAUGAUACCAUAACAGGCUGGCAGCUCAUAGCUAAUCUGAAAUGUACUUUAGAUCAUGACAAUUUAAAACAUGAGAAUAUCAUUGAAUGGUUGGUUCUUCCAUUUGUUCUUUACCACGUAUCAGUUGAGUGGUUCUCAGCUGAAACUGGGAGAUCAUGCAGAUCACACAGAGACUAAGGUCAAUUUUGAGUCUAGAAUUGUCCAACUCUUAUCUUCAUGUCUUAUGACUGUGUGGGGGACACCUCACUUAAAAUAAACCCCCAUAUAUGCCUGCUUAAUUAAACACGCACUAUUCUGCCACUAGGGGUCUGUCAACCAAAACAAUAACAAGGCACUCAGAGAUUUCGGACUUCACCCCAUUCACACGACACGUCUCUGUCAGUGAGGAAACGCAGACAGACACACAGAGCCACUAAAAACAAUACUUCACUCCCACUCCGCGGUAGUAACAAAGCACCUGGUUUGAUGGCAUCAGGAAGCAGCGUGGGAUUAUGGGACUUCUGUUGAGGGAAAUCUUUGGGGGAAGAAUUAAAUAAAUUUAACAUGAAAAGACACUGGUCCCGGUUCACUGGAAAGACCAAAUAUUUCCAUCGUCAUUCUCAUGUUUCAUCGAGGCCAAAAUAAAAUGGUCCAUUACCUUGAA